rnacentral:rRNA from 1 species
GCACAAGCAGCGGAGCGUGUGGUUAAUUCGAGGCUACACGAAGAACCUUACAGGGUUUGACAUGCAAGUGGUAGGAAUCCGAAAGGUGACCGACCCUUCGGGGAGCUUGCACAGGUGCUGCAUGGCUGUCGUCAGCUCGUGUCGUGAGAUGUUCGGUUAAGUCCGCUAACGAGCGCAACCCUCGUCGUGUGUUAUACGUGUCACACGAUACUGCCGGUAUCAAGCCGGAGGAAGGUGGGGAUGAUGUCAAGUCAGCAUGGCCUUUAUAUCCUGGGCUACACACACGCUACAAUGGCAGAUACAAUAGGUUGCGAAACCGCGAGGUGGAGCCAAUCCUCAAAGUCUGUCUCAGUUCAGAUUGUAGGCUGCAACUCGCCUGCAUGAAGUUGGAGUUGCUAGUAAACGCAGGUCAGCUAUACUGCGUUGAAUACGUUCCCGGGGUUU